GACGAACGCUGGCGGCGUGCCUAAUACAUGCAAGUCGAACGCAGUGGGGACGGGUGAGUAACACGUGGGUAACCUCCCAUCAGAGGGGAUAACACUUGGAAACAGGUGCUAAACCGAUACUGAUGGAUGGACCCGCGGUGCAUGAGCUAGUUGGUGCGGUAACGGCUCACCAAGGCCACGAUGCAUCGCCGACCUGAGAGUGUGAUAGGCCAUUCUGGGACUGGACAACGGCCCAUACGCCUACGGGAGGAAGCAGGAGGGAAUCUUUGGCAAUGGACGAAAGUCUGACCAAGCAACGCCGCGUGAGUGAAGAAGGUUUUCGGAUCGUAAAACUCUGUUGUUAGAGAAGCGGUAACUAACCAGAAAGGGACGGCUAACUACGUGCCAGCAGCCGCGGUAAUAC
rnacentral:rRNA from 1 species